ensembl:rRNA 5S_rRNA 5S ribosomal RNA
GUCUACGGCCAGGCCACCCUGAACGUGCCCGAUCUCGUCUGAUCUCGGAAGCUAAGCUGGGUUGGGCCUGGUUAAUACUUGGAUAGGAGACCACUUAGGAACACCGAGUGCUGUAGGUG